GUUUCUCUGCCGGAUUGCUCCGGGAAGAAUUUGCUCAACGGCCGGUAUCUGUUGCCGGGGGUAUGCUUAAGGUCUCGGGGGGUAGCAAGGUCCUUAUUUUUUGUUCACCAUUCUGUUAUUUUGCCUUGAUGGCUGUGGAUUGUGCUCUGCCGCGGUCGGAGCUCAGGGCUUAGGCGCCUUCUCUCCCCCCCCGAAAAUUAUUUUAAACAGCAAAAUUGCAAGCAAA